AUUGAUAAAUAAAAGGUAAAGUAAAUAGGCGCAAGACCAUUGGAAGAAAACGCGUCUUCUGUGUAUCCGAGAGAAAGCUUGGCGAGAUCUCGCAAUCGCAUCGGCUCAGAUAUCGAUCUCCACCAUCCCGUCUUCCGGUUUCUUAAUUCGCCGUCCGGUAAGACCUUCCGGUAUUUGUGUGAAUCGGAAGAGAGGAAGGGGAAAACUUAUCGCGUUCCUGGAAAUUGAGUGUUUAGGGUUUCUUUUUUCUCAUCGGUCUUCUUUUUUUUUCCCUGAUUCUGAUUUUGAUUUCGUCGAGUGUUUUUCGUAAUUGGUUUAUCGAUCGUCUUUUUGGUUCGAUUGCUGAAAAAUAAUUGAACAAUUUAUCGAAUCUGCUUAUCGUGAUUUGAUUCUCUAGGAUUUUCCCUAGGGUUUCGUUAAUUGGGGUUGUUUCUAGGGUUGGUGUUUUUCUUAAUUCUCUUUCGAUCAAUUUCUCAUUGAGAAGAAUACGAUGGCGGCAGGGGGAGUUGACGUCUCCAGAAGUUCUGUUGCAGCCAAAAAAGACUACGACUUUUACAGGAAUGGUACUCGUGAUGUAUAUUUACGACAGAGUGGUAGAGAUGGCGAGAGACGUCAAAUCAAACGACCCAACGACCAAGGUCUCAGGAGGAAUGAUGACGAGCGUCACCGACCACGUUUGGCUUCUGAGAAAGGACAAGUACGAGAGAGAGAGGAGGUUCAGAGACCCCCUGAGAAAAGGAGGAAGUUUUCCCCCAUCGUGUGGGAUGUUGAAGCUAAAGUGGCUAAAGCUCCGUCUAGGGAGAAGACCAAGUCUCCUUUCACUAUUCCGACUACAAAUGAGGUACCCAAUCAGAAUGUUGAUUUAAGUGUUACCAGGAAGGCUUCUUCAAAGGAUCAGGUCAGUGUUGUGAUGUCACCAGAACCAGGUCAUCUGACGCCAGUGCAGCCUUUAGAAGCUCGGCUCUCUGGGAAACAUCCUGUUGAUGAUUUGGAGGAGGGUCAGUUGGAGGAAGAACAGGUGAUGCAGACACCACCUGUUAAUACAUCUAGAUGGGGUACUACGGUUUUAGCUUCCCCCAAGGAGGAGUUAAUAUCUCUUGCUGAUAAUGUUCCCAGGACUAGCAGAUGGAACAGGAGCAGUUUGACUCCGGAGUGUGGGGAGUUAGUGGUGACUGAUCAACAGCAGUGCAACUCAUCUGGAUCUGGCAGCGGACAUCACAGCUCAGAGAAGCUCAGUGCUGAUGAAUUUUCUGAUCGUGAGUAUUGUAGUUCUGAUCAUGAUGAGUUAGAAAAUGAAGAACCAGCUUCUUCAGCUCAGGGAGGGAUGAACAUGCUGCUAGGGAGCAGGUCUGUGAAUAACUUUCAGAAGCUAAACAAGAUAAACGAGGGAACUUACGGAAUUGUUUAUAAAGCAAGGGAUGAGAUAACAAAGGAGAUUGUGGCACUUAAAAAGAUCAAGAUGAAGGAAGAUAAGUACGAAGAAGAGUACGGAUUCCCUUUAACAUCUUUGAGGGAAAUUAACAUUCUUUUGUCAUGCAAUCACCCUUCGAUAGUGAACGUGAAGGAGGUUGUGGUUGGAGGGAAAACCGAUAGUGAUGUUUAUAUGGUCAUGGAACAUUUAGAACACGACUUGAAGGGCUUAAUGGAUAGAAAGAAGCAACCUUUUAGCACCAGCGAGGUCAAGUGCUUGAUGAUGCAGCUAUUGGAGGGUGUGAAAUACCUUCACACGAAUUGGAUUAUCCACAGGGAUCUGAAGCCAUCUAAUCUCCUAAUGAAUAACACUGGGGAGUUAAAGAUAUGUGAUUUUGGGAUGGCGCGCCAAUAUGGGAGCCCUAUCAAGCCUUACACCCAGAUGGUUGUUACUCAGUGGUACAGGCCACCUGAACUUCUUUUAGGAGCAAAAGAGUACUCUACAGCAGUUGAUAUGUGGUCAAUCGGCUGCAUUAUGGCGGAACUGUUGUCUCAAAAGCCUUUGUUCCCGGGCAAGAGUGAACUUGACCAACUUCAGAAGAUCUUUGCGGUUCUUGGAACGCCAAGCGAGGCAAUCUGGCCUGGAUUCUCAUCGUUGCCCAAUGCCAAAGCCAAGUUUCCCACACAACCGUACAAUUUGUUGCGUAAGAAGUUUCCAGCUAUAUCAUUUGUAGGUGGUCAAAUUCUUUCGGAACGUGGAUUUGAUUUGCUGAAUGGUUUACUAACUUUGGACCCUGAGAAACGUCUAACAGUGGAAGAAGCUCUCAACCAUGGUUGGUUCCAUGAAGUACCUCUCCCAAAGUCACAGGAUUUCAUGCCGACAUUUCCUCCAAAGCGCUAGCUGAGAGACACUGUCAUCAUUUGGAGGAGAAGAUUUCAAAUAAUAUAUUUGAGCAUAGGGAAGUCCACUAGCUGAAUUUGGGCAUACUAGUGUACCAUUUAUUCGGAUUCAUAUGUAAAUAUGAGAGUUGGUCCGUGAAACCGAAAGAAGGUAAACGCAAAGAGUUAAUCAAAAACGUGGAAAAGAAAGUAGCCAUCAGUAAGUUAUUUUGAUUACUUCUUUACGCUCUAUAUGAAAUUUGGUCUGUUGGUGGAUAUCCCUCUCGUCGCGUUGUUUUUUUUUUUUUCUUUUUCUUUGAGGUGCUCGCUUAUGUUUGGUCAACAUGGCCGAGAGAAGAGAAUGCUUCCUGGUGAGUUUCCGUAAACAUAGAGUCUCUCUACAUCAUCAGGCACUUAGAAGAGCAACCGAGAUAAAACGUAUAAACGGCCGAGAUCUCAAAAGGCCCGAUCAGUUACAAAGAGGCAAUGGAGAAAGAAUAAUUCUUAUCAACAUAUAAAUGGUUAAAUUAUAAUGGCUAUAAAUAAAGCGUGUCACUCCCUCUGCUAUUUGUAAGUCAUAUGAAGUAGUUAUCAUACAGUAUGUGGAAACAAACGCAUUUUUAUGAGUAACAAGAUGUAAAUUGAGAGUAACAAGGUGUUGUCGAAUUUACGAUUGCCAAUUCGAAAUC